rnacentral:rRNA from 1 species
AGUGAACGCUGGCGGUAGGCCUAACACAUGCAAGUCGAACGGCAGCACAGUAAGAGCUUGCUCUUACGGGUGGCGAGUGGCGGACGGGUGAGGAAUACAUCGGAAUCUACUUUUUCGUGGGGGAUAACGUAGGGAAACUUACGCUAAUACCGCAUACGACCUACGGGUGAAAGCAGGGGAUCUUCGGACCUUGCGCGAUUGAAUGAGCCGAUGUCGGAUUAGCUAGUUGGCGGGGUAAAGGCCCACCAAGGCGACGAUCCGUAGCUGGUCUGAGAGGAUGGUCAGGCAGACUGGAAAUGAGACACGGUCGAGACUCAGAAGGGAGGCAGCAGUGGGGAAUAUUGGACAAUGGGCGCAAGCCUGAUCCAGCCAUACCGCGUGGGUGAAGAAGGCCUUCGGGUUGUAAAGCCCUUUUGUUGGGAAAGAAAAGAAGCAGGUUAAUACCCCGCUGUUCUGACGGUACCCAAAGAAUAAGCACCGGCUAACUUCGUG